AUGCCGCGUGAGUGAUGAAGGCCUUAGGGUCGUAAAGCUCUUUCGCUGGGGAAGAUAAUGACUGUACCCAGUAAAGAAACCCCGGCUAACUCCGUGCCAGCAGCCGCGGUAAUACGGAGGGGGUUAGCGUUGUUCGGAAUUACUGGGCGUAAAGCGCGCGUAGGCGGACUGGAAAGUUGGGGGUGAAAUCCCGGGGCUCAACCUCGGAACUGCCUUCAAAACUCCCAGUCUUGAGUUCGAGAGAGGUGAGUGGAACUCCGAGUGUAGAGGUGAAAUUCGUAGAUAUUCGGAAGAACACCAGUGGCGAAGGCGGCUCACUGGCUCGAUACUGACGCUGAGGUGCGAAAGUGUGGGGAGCAAACAGGAUUAGAUACCCUGGUAGUCCACACCGUAAACGAUGAAUGCCAGUCGUCGGCAAGCAUGCUUGUCGGUGACACACCUAACGGAUUAAGCAUUCCGCCUGGGGAGUACGGUCGCAAGAUUAAAACUCAAG
rnacentral:rRNA from 1 species